CAGUAGAAGUACUGUAUUCUCUGAAUUUUUGUGCUCCGGCUUCCUGCAAAACUAUUGAAGCUGCGUUCACCAUCUGUUCCAAGUACAGACUUGGUUCAUUGGAAUGGAAUACAUUAGAUUUUCUCAUUAGUGAAAUCCUCUUCUUUAUGCUAAAAGGAAGGGAGUCAGAGAUGGACUCAUUGGGAGCAUACACAAUUCAGAAGAGUUGAGAGAGGUAAUAUAUGCCACAAAAGACAAGGAGUACAGGUCUCCAGAGAUCUGUGUCUGACUCUAAAUCCUGUGACUUCACUACCCUAAUAAUAAUGCCCAGCUAUUCUGUCGCAUUCUUCAUCCAGAGAUCUCAAAAUGACUGACAAAUGAAGAUAAAAACCAUCACCCCAUUUUGAAGAAGAGGAAAAUGAGGUCGGGAGGAGUACGGAAUUAGAUGCUGUCUAUUCAUCAAAAGUUUUUACAACAAAACUCUGUCAGCAACAAGCCUGAGAUGGAGGAGAUAGAAAGAACCAAGACAGCAGACUUGUCUUCGGGAUCCAAGAGCAGAGGGAGAGAUCAGAAGAGAAGAAAUAUCCCAUUCUACACCUUAUUCUCCUGUUAAAGGCAAAGCCCUGUGAACAGAAGAUGCUGCUUCUCUAUACCUUCUCCUGAUGAUGACAAGGAAAUCAGAAAGAGUAGGGGUGGUAUUGUUGGCUCCUUGGUGUCUUUGCCACCCAUGAUUCUUUGGUGAACCAAGCUUAGACUCUGUUUUAACCUCCCCACCUACAAUUAAGUGCCAGGAAAUUGAAAAGAGCUGUUUCAUAGCUGAGUAUCUCUUCACAAAGGUUGCAGAUUGCCUGACUAGAAGCAGAAGGACUUCCGCAUCAUUGACCUAUUCCUGUACGGAAGCCGUUCACUAGAUGACCACUAGAAUAGGACAGCAGAAGGAGACUAUGACAAAUACAAUUACUGGUA